UACGUAGGGCGCAAGCGUUGUCCGGAAUUAUUGGGCGUAAAGAGCUCGUAGGCGGUUUGUCACGUCUGCUGUGAAAACCCGAGGCUCAACCUCGGGCCUGCAGUGGGUACGGGCAGACUAGAGUGCGGUAGGGGAGAUUGGAAUUCCUGGUGUAGCGGUGGAAUGCGCAGAUAUCAGGAGGAACACCAAUGGCGAAGGCAGAUCUCUGGGCCGUAACUGACGCUGAGGAGCGAAAGCAUGGGGAGCGAACAGG
rnacentral:rRNA from 1 species